GCCGGCGUGGCGGAAUUGGCAGACGCGCUAGACUCAAAAUCUGGUUCUCGCAAGGGAGUGUGGGUUCGAGCCCCUCCGCCGGUACCA
rnacentral:tRNA from 5 species